CCUAAGGUAGCGAAAUUCCUUGUCAGGUAAGUUCUGACCCGCACGAAUGGCGUAAUGAUUUGGGCACUGUCUCAACAGCCCGCCCGGCGAAAUUGUAGUACUGGUGAAGAUGCCAGUUACCCGCAACUAGACGGAAAGACCCCAUGGAGCUUUACUGCAGCUUAAUACUGAAAUUCGGUAGUACAUGUACAGGAUAGGUGGGAGACUGAGAAAUACAGGCGUCAGCUUGUAUGGAGUCGCUGUUGGGAUACCACUCUUGUACUGCUGGGUUUCUAACCUGCGGCCGUGAAUCCGGUCGGGGGACACUGUUAGGCGGGCAGUUUGACUGGGGCGGUCGCCUCCAAAAGAGUAACGGAGGCGCUCAAAGGUUCGCUCAGCAUGGACGGAAACCAUGCCAGAGAGUGCAAACGCAUAAGCGAGCCUAACUGCGAGACUGACGGGUCGAGCAGUAACGAAAGUUGGAGUUAGUGAUCCGGUGGUAUGUGAGUGGAAAUGCCAUCGCUCAACGGAUAAAAGUUACCCUGGGGAUAACAGGCUGAUCUCCCCCAAGAGUCCACAUCGACGGGGAGGUUUGGCACCUCGAUGUCGGCUCAUCGCAUCCUGGGGCUGUAUUCGGUCCCAAGGGUUUGGCUGUUCGCCAAUUAAAGCGGCACGCGAGCUGGGUUCAGAACGUCGUGAGACAGUUCGGUCCCUAUCUGUUGCGGGCGUAGGAGAUUUGAAGGGAGCUGUCCUUAGUACGAGAGGACCGGGAUGGACAUACCUCUGGUGUACCAGUUGUUCUGCCAAGGGCACGGCUGGGUAGCUACGUAUGGACGAGAUAAACGCUGAAGGCAUCUAAGCGUGAAACUCCCCCUGAGAUAAGAUCUCCACUGAGGCUCGACGUAGACUAUGUCGUAGAUAGGUCAGAGGUGGAAGUGCAGUAAUGCAUGGAGCUGACUGAUACUAAUAAGCCGAAAGCUUGACCAA
rnacentral:rRNA from 1 species